UACUUCGGAUCGUAAACUUCUGUUAACGGAAAGAAAGAAUCACCAGUAAUAUGGGUGAGAGAUGACGUUACCGUUAAAGAAAGCACCGGCUAACUUCGUGC
rnacentral:rRNA from 1 species